CUGACUUGAAGCAAGUGAUUGAUGUUUUAGAAACUCAAGAUUCCUAUUUGUCUAAUGGUACUGGAGGACACAUUCGAAAAAACUAUUUGUUCUACAGGGGUUGCAAACAUGGCUCAGUGGUAGAGGUAACCAAGCAUCCCGCAGAGGACCUGACUUCAGUUUCCAGGACCCACAUCAUGAAGCUCAGAAGCACCUGUACCUUCAGCUCCAGGGCAUCUGACACCCUCUUCUGAACUUCACAGGCACCUGUACUAAUAUGUGCACAAACCACACACAAACAUACACAAAAACAUAACAACCCUUUAACCAUAACUUGUGCUACUAAUAUACUUUGGG
rnacentral:lncRNA from 1 species